rnacentral:rRNA from 1 species
GACGAACGCUGGCGGCGUGCUUAACACAUACAAGUCGAACGGAAAGGCCCUGCUUUUGUGGGGUGCUCGAGUGGCGAACGGGUGAGUAACACGUGAGUAACCUGCCCUUGACUUUGGGAUAACUUCAGGAAACUGGGGCUAAUACCGGAUAGGAGCUCCUGCUGCAUGGUGGGGGUUGGAAAGUUUCGGCGGUUGGGGAUGGACUCGCGGCUUAUCAGCUUGUUGGUGGGGUAGUGGCUUACCAAGGCUUUGACGGGUAGCCGGCCUGAGAGGGUGACCGGCCACAUUGGGACUGAGAUACGGCCCAGACUCCUACGGGAGGCAGCAGUGGGGAAUAUUGUACAAUGGGCGGAAGCCUGAUGCAGCAACGCCGCGUGCGGGAUGACGGCCUUCGGGUUGUAAACCGCUUUCGCCUGUGACGAAGCGUGAGUGACGGUAAUGGGUAAAGAAGCACCGGCUAACUACGUG